UCGGAGGCGACGAGGCGUCGCCGCGGGCCGCUUCGUCUCGCGGGCGACGGGGCGGUCCUUCAAGGGUGGCGGCGGCGGGGGCGGGGCCAUCAGCCCCUUGUCCCUGGGGUCCCCGGCGUUGGGGGCCACGGCCAUGACGGGGCGCUCCGCCUGCUCCGGGGCCCGGGGCCGCACCAGGGCGUAGCUGGAGCACACGGCGGCGCGGUGGGGGGGGGAGCGGGGGCGGGGCCGGCGGCGGCGGCGGCGGCGGCGGCGGGGCGGGGCCGUGAAGGUGUGGUGGGCGGGCGGCAUGGAGCCGUUGAACAUCUUCUUGCGGGCCUCCUCCACCUCCUCGGGGGCCCAGGUGAUGCCCUGCUUCAGCCGCUGCGUGGUGAACCACGCGCGGAUGGCGCCCUCGGGGUGGCGCGAGGCCGCCGUCAGCCAGCUCAGCUCCGCCUGCGUGGGGUACGGGAAGCGGCCGAACGACGCCAUCAGGGCGGGGCUGACGUCCAGCGCCGGGUCGUACCGGCUGCUGCUCAGCGGCACCGCCACCUUGGGGACCGCCGCGAAGUUGGGAGGCCUCUGGAGGAGGGGGGCCACGGGGGGCCCCUGGUGGAGGGGGGGCCCCUGGAGGAGGGGGGGCCCCUGGAGGAGGGGGGGCCCGUGGAGGAGGGGGGCCCCUGGUGGAGGGGGGGCCCGUUCUCUGCGGGGCCCCGGCCCCUCUGGAGGAGCCCGUUGGGUGUGGGGUGCUGAUGGGCCGGGCCCCCCCCGGGGGGGUGCGCGGCGUGGUAGCGGCCCAGUGGGGUCGGGGUCACCGCGGGGUGCUGCGCGGCCACGUGCGCCUCGAACGCCCCCAGGCCGGCCGAGGAGAACGAGCAGUACUUACACACGAAGCCCCGGGCCCCCAGGGCCCGCGGCUCCUGGGGGGGCCUCUUGGGCUCCCCUUCCUCCCCCUCCUCCUCCUCCUCCUCCUCCUCCUCCCCCUCGUCUUCCUCAUCAUCGUCGUCGUCGUCCAUCUCAGCGGCCUCUGGCCCCGCCCCCUCCGGUUCCCGCGGCGAUGGCCCGCCCUCCGGACUCUGGUCCGGUGAGCUCAGGGGCCCGCCCACUGGCCCCGCCUCUGCCUGCUCCUCCUCUCUAGGCUCCUCCUCCUCCUCCCCCGGCCCCUCCCCCCCGGGGCGGGGCGGGUCUGUCUCCGCGCGGACCAUGCAGGGGGUGGACGACUUCCUGCGGCUGGACAUGGCGACGAGUCGGGCGGGAGACUGUUGUUGUCGUGGCGACGGUGGCUGAGCGGGGCGCUGGGGUUCAGGGGUCAGGAGGGGGGAGGUGGAGACGGACUCUGCUCCGUCAGCUCCCAGCCUCGUCGUCAUGGGAACGCAUCACAUCAGCGGUCCUGAAGCUGGGGAGACAGAGAUGAGGUGAGGCUGGAGGUCAUAAGGUCACUGGCCUCUGUCCGUCUCUCUACCUCUCCCUCUACUC
ensembl:lncRNA